rnacentral:misc_RNA from 1 species
UUGAAAGUCCUCCAGCCCUGCCAG